UACAGAGGGUGCGAGCGUUAAUCGGAAUUACUGGGCGUAAAGCGCGCGUAGGCGGCUUUGCAAGUCGGGUGUGAAAUCCCCAGGUUUAACCUGGGAACUGCAUUCGAGACUGCAUUGCUAGAGUAUGGGAGAGGGAAGUGGAAUUUCCGGUGUAGCGGUGAAAUGCGUAGAUAUCGGAAGGAACAUCAGUGGCGAAAGCGACUUCCUGGACCAAUACUGACGCUCAUGUGCGAAAGCGUGGGGAGCAAACAGG
rnacentral:rRNA from 1 species